rnacentral:rRNA from 1 species
GGAGGUAGUGACAAUAAAUCACAAUGCGGGACUGUUAGUCUUGCAAUUGGAUUGAGAACAACGUACAGCUCUUAUCGAUAAGCCAUUGGAGGGCAAGUCUGGUGCCAGCAGCCGCGGUAAUUCCAGCUCCAAUAGCGUAUAUUAACGUUGUUGCAGUUAAAAAGCUCGUAGUUGAAGUGAGGGAGUGUGUGGGUAUGAGAGCUAGUCUCAAGUACUUACAACCUCCCCCCUCCAAUCGGUGUAGUGGGGUAUUCAGUUAUUCUACUACUCCUUUGGUCGUUUACUGUGAGAAAAUUAGAGUGUUCAAAGCGGGCGUUUGUUUGAAUAGAUUAGCAUGGAAUAAUGAUUGGAGGCUUUCGUGUUCGAUUUGAUUGGUUUGUUCAUGGAAGCAAGGUUAAAAGGAACAGUUGGGGGUAUUCAUAUUCACUAGUUAGAGGUGAAAUUCUCGGAUUUAUGGAAGAUGAACAAGUGCGAAAGCA